UUUAUGUAAUUAAAAAUUCUUUAAUUUAUUACUUUAUUCUUAAUUUUUUCUGUCUAUUUUGAAAUAUUAAUAACGAUUUUAAAAUAUCACAUAUUUAUGACAGAAAUGAGAAUAAUCCUAUUCCUUCUUCAUCUAAAUCAGUAAGAAUAUUUUAAUAUUUACCUUAAAUAUUUAUUUCAUAAAAAGUAUAACAAAAGUUUCUGAUUGUUGGAUAUUUAAUUUACACAGGAUAUUUUAAAUUUAUCAUUAGAAAACAUUCAAGAAAAAAAUAUAUCAAAAAAUAUAUCUUCAAAAAGGAGUCGAGAGAAUAAUGAACCCAAUGUGAUACGAGGUGAGCAACUUCGAAUUUUUUUAAGUAAAUCGGCUACGAGUAAAUGCAAGACUACGGGUAAUAUUACAACUAGCGAAGCAAGGCCCUUGUUUGAAACAGGAUAAGGAUUAUUUAUUAUAGAAAUUAACAGAAAUUAUUGUUGAAGAUGAAUUAAGCAAAUCUGAAAAAAUUUCAACUACUGGCUUCGCUGAAUUUGUAGGUGCUAUACAACAUAUAUUUUCUGAAGAAGACAGUGAUCUUUAUUUUAUUUCAUACAAAUAUUCAAAUGGAAGGAAACUUUUGGCUAAAGGCAAAUUAAUUAAUACUAUUCUAUUCGGAAGGAAUUCAAAGCGCUCGGUAUUAUUAAUCAAAACAAGGAGAUCAAUUAGACUCUGAGACUCAAGACUUUCAAGAUGAUUUAGAAGGUUGAUUGUGCGAUUUUUUAUUUGCAUUUUUUUUUCUAAUAAUGUUAAAUGAAUAUUGAAAAUGAAAAGGUUUACUUUAAACUUUUUUUGUUAUUUAUAUUUUUGUAAUUUAUUUUGUAAUUUAUUCUAUAUAAUUUUAUAGCAUUUCUAUAGUUUUAUUUUAUUUAAGUAGAUGAUAGUCUACAAGGAAAGCUUAACUUUCUUGAAGAGAACAUAGAGCUUUGGUCAACAAUCGUAGAGUAUUGGACGGAUACUGCUAAACUAAGAAUUGUAAAAUUACAUGCCAAAUCUCGGUUUACAAACAAAAAUAAAGGCAAAGAUAAUAACAAAAGAAAUGCUAAUGUUAAAAGUAAGCUUAAAAGCAAAACGAUUCCAGAAAUCGCACAAGUAGAACAAGAAAAGAAAGGAAGUGGAAAAUAUUUCAACUUAUAUGAAUAAGUUUUAUUUUUGUUUGUGGAGCAUUUGUGGAUGAUAUAGAUGCUUGUUAUGUAAUUCUUGAUGCGGAGAUACAAUUUUUAGUUCAAUCCCCAGUAAGACGAAUUUGUGUUUCAAGAUUAUUCAUGCAACUCACUUAGAGUAUUCUCCCGAGAGUAGAAUAUUUACCUUUGUUAUUUUAUAAAGGCAAAUGGAAAACAAUGUUACAUUGCAUCAUUUAUUUUAGCAACUUAAGAAAUAUGUAAUAAAGCACUCUCUCUUAUUCAUUGU